rnacentral:rRNA from 1 species
AUGAGUUUCUCUGUGCAAUGGUGGGAUGAGUGGCAGCUGCGCAUUCUGGUGCUGGGCAGCCUCUUCAUCCAGUACUUCCUCUUCUUGUCCUCCGUAGUGCGCAGGUGUCCUCUUCCAUCUUGGCUACGACUCUUCAUGUGGCUUGCCUACCUAGGCGGGGAUGCUCUGGCGAUAUAUGCGCUGGCCACCCUCUUCAACCGCCACAGGCAGCUACCCCCAGACGGGAGCAUCCUGGAGGUUCUGUGGACGCCUGUCCUCCUCAUCCACCUCGGGGGCCAGCACUCGAUGGCUGCCUACAACAUCGAAGACAACGAGCUGUGGUCGCGGCAUGCCAUAAUCGUGGUGUCCCAGGUCACGGUGGCCCUCUACGUGUUCUGCAAGUCGUGGUCCGGGGAGAAGAGGAAUGGGUGGACAGGAUACAUCCACGAUGCUGCCAGCUACACGAGGUUCAACAGCCACAGAGGCCAAUGGACACUGAACAAGCAUAGUCUGGGUCGCGACAAUCGGCUGGGGUGGAGCUUGAAGAUGGCGUUCGAUAGAAGCAUCCUUCUCUGGCACAUCGCCACUGACCUCUGCUUUCACCACCAAAACACAACCCCUCAUGGCCAAGAGUGCGCCGCUGCAAGCAGAGUGAUAUCCAACUACAUGGCUUACCUGCUCUACAUCCGUCCUGAGAUGCUGAUGCUCGGGACCAGGAACGGUAUCUUCACUGUUGCCUGUGAUGAUGCUGAGCUCAUCAUGGGCGGCAGGCUAGCACUGGACGUAAGUGGACUUGUGCAGAUAAUUCUUCACAGGGCGCAACAACCUCGCGCGUUAAACACCACCAAGAUAGGAGCUUUGGUUCCCAAUGCAUGCAGGCUUGCUGAAGCAUUGAUGGAGUUGCACGACGAAGGGGAGAGGUGGGAGGUUGUCCAGGGGAUAUGGGUGGAGAUGCUAUGCUACUCUGCCAGUAGGUGCAGGGGGUACUUGCACGCUAAGAACAUGAAUGAAGGUCCGGAGCUGCUCUCUAAAGUCUGGAUCCUCUUAUCACUCAUGGGGAUGGAGACACCGGCUGACAGGUAUCAAAAGCUAGGGCCUCCCAAAGCCAUGGAAGAAGAAGAAGAAGAAGAAGAAGAAGAAGAAGAAGAAGAAGAAGGCGACCAUGAAGUUGAAGGCUUAGUUGUUGAUUGUUGA